ensembl:lncRNA
GUGCGCCACAGUGGGCGGUGCUGGACAGGUUCCACGUAAGGAGGAAGUCUCACAGGGAACGCCUUUCCGACUCAGAGGUGUGGAGACACAGCCCGGCAACGAAAGAAGGAGAAGCAACUCCCUGGGAAGAGGGAACCACAGAGGAGCGUUCCUUGUCUAGGGAUCGAACUCUGGUCCUUGUGCUUGUGCAGCAGGCAGUGAAACCACUGAGCUAAAUCCCCGGCCCUAGACUGGCUCCCGCACAGAUCUGGGCAGUACCAGUUCCAGCAGAUACUUUCUCUGGUUGGAUCUCUGCUUCAAGCCCACCACGGCAUCUCUGCUGCGGGUGCAGCUCCAGCCUCACAGACGUGGAGUGGGUCAGCCUGCUGUGCUGUAAGGAAGUGUGGUCCUUCACAUUAUUUGGCUUAGUCCUCUAUGACUGCUUUUUUCUCUUCAUCAGGAAACAGAGCAGUUCUGCAGGACCAUCCAUUACAGAUGGUUGUGCCAGUGGUGAAGACAAAAGAAGGCUUUGAUUGCAUUUUGAACCAGAUUGUUUAAGUUGACUGUAUUACAGUACUUCUUCACAAUGGAGCAGCAAGCACAGAUGAGAAAUACCUUUCUACACUAGUACUGAGGGAUCUUCAGAUUUGAAUAUUAAGUGAAAAAGGUAGAGGGAAUAGAAAAAUAUAUGCAAUUUUAUUUUUAAAAUGAAAAAAUAAAUCAUAAAAAAUGUUGAAGUCAUUAUGGAACAGGAAGGAGUAGAGGGGAGAUAAGGAUUUUGGAACAAAGGAAAGAGCUAUACAAUCAAAAGGGGUUAGAGCUGGAGGUGUGUAGCUCAGCAGGAGAGCACAUGCUUAGCAAGUGUGAGGCCUUAGGCUCACUCCCCAGCACCAAAAAAAGAAAAGAGAGGAAGAAGUUGGGUGCAAUUAAAUAAAACCUAGAAUCCCUGAAUUUAAGUUGGAAAUUUCAGUUUAAAUAAUGUAUUUUAUUAAAAAAAGAAAAAGACCAAACCAAACCAAAUCAUUUUACCCAGCACUGUCCACCAAACAAGUAACUCAUUUAUACCACCACAGUCCUUCAGAUUGUGGUCUUUAAAUAGUUUCCCAUUAAAAGAAACAGCACUGUGAUAAGCAGUAUAUGAUAUAAUUUUUAUACUUCCCCAGAAGUCAGUGUUAUUCUUUUAUAGUACAAAACGGACAUGUUUGGGACACUGAGACUGAAUAGGUGUCAAAAGAGCUGCAAAAUGAAAAACAGAGAAAUGUUAGCAUAUCAGAGACAAAAAGUCUGUGUUGUGAAAUGG